CUUUUUUACCUGACAGUCAUAGCACCCUUGAAGAAGCUAUUUCUUUUAACUACAUGUUUUCAAAGCCUAGCAAGGUGUUUGUGGUGAAUUGAGCCUCUCAAAGAUGAAGUAAUCAGCUAAGUUAAACAGCUUAAUAGCAAGAGGAACAAGCCCUGCAUCUUCCAGUCUGGUGAAUCCUUUUUCCCGUAUAACAUGGGGAACAUGGAAAGGGGGAAAGACCCUUGACCCCACUAGUAAUCAGUUUACAAAUCACUUUUUAUUAUGAAGCGUUUCCAACAUACUCAAAGGAGAUCUACUUUCUAUGGCGCCAACCACACCAGUCGGCCAGAUAAACAGUGGCAAGGAGGAGGCCAAAGGAACAAGACAGGCAGGCUGCCCAAGGUGACAGUUUCGCCAGAGUGUGUGGCUUUGCUUCCCCAUCACUUGGAGUCCAUGGUGUGUCCCCUACUCUGAGCUCAGGAAGAUCUUCGUGGCUGCCUGCACAGAUCGCGUGUGCCAGGAGUGACUCAGUUUAACCCCUGAGGAGUGGUGAGGGGUGCGUGCUGUCCACCCAAGAUGCCCACCUUCCGAUCCAGCCGCCUGGCAGAACGAGGCCGAGCCACAUGGAGAGACCACUUGGCCAGCGAAUCUGCAGCUGUCACUCCGAGGGGUUGCACAGAAAGAUGGAAAUGGGUGGAACGGGGGAAAAGGACGAGGACAGAAAUGAAUAUGGCGCUGCUUCACGGCUGAACACCGGUGAUGGGUUUCCAUCUCUAUCAGGACAUCAUGCAGAGAAUUUGAGAAAGAAAUCAAGCCAGGUGCAGUGGUACAUGCCAGUGAUCCCAGCACUCAGGAGGCAGAAGCAGGAGCAUCACUGCGAGUUUGAAGCCAACCUAGGUUACGCAGUGAGUACAAGGCCUAUCUGAACUACAUAGUAA